GUAUUGCGCAGAUUCUUGGUUGCUUGACUGUUGUUACAUUUUUCAGUGCAAGCAACUCGGAUGAGACUGAAUCAGUAAUGAAGUUACUUUGGGACUUAAUUAAUCCUGGAACUGACUCUAGUAUUGAAAGGAAAGAUUCACCAGCCGUUUUAACUGCCAUGAUAUCCGCUUGGUCCUUUCUUCUUUCUACCAUUGAUGGGUGGAGGCUAAGUCACAAAAAUUGGCAAGGGGCAAUUACAUACUUCUCCAACAUAUUAGACAGUAACGAUGAAGCACUAUGUGCAGCAG